CCGCGAGGUGGAGCUAAUCCCAUAAAACCGAUCGUAGUCCGGAUCGCAGUCUGCAACUCGACUGCGUGAAGUCGGAAUCGCUAGUAAUCGUGAAUCAGAACGUCACGGUGAAUACGUUCCCGGGCCUUGUACACACCGCCCGUCACACCAUGGGAGUGGGUUGCACCAGAAGUAGCUAGUCUAACCUUCGGGAGGACGGUUACCACGGUGUGAUUCAUGACUGGGGUGAAGUCGUAACAAGGUAGCCGUAGGGGAACCUGCGGCUGGAUCACCUCCUUAAU
rnacentral:rRNA from 1 species